AUUAUUAUAUAAUACAGUAUACGACGACGAUAGACGCCCUUUUCUUCGUGGCGAACGAAACCCUAAUCAUCACUCCUCCUUCUCCAAUCCUAUCAUCCCCCAAAUUUGAUUCUGCAAUUGCCUCUUCUCUCUUCAAUUUGAUUCAGUUCGAUUUCUUCGUAGCCCACCAUGGAUGCUCAGCGAGCUCUGUUAGACGAACUUAUGGGAGCAGCUCGUAAUCUGACAGACGAAGAAAGAAGAGGGUUCAAGGAGGUUAAGUGGGACGAUAGAGAGGUCUGUGCAUUCUAUAUGGUUCGAUUUUGUCCUCAUGACCUCUUCGUUAACACUCGAAGCGAUCUUGGAGCGUGCUCGAGAAUUCAUGAUCCAAAGCUGAAAGAGAGUUUCGAAAACUCUCCAAGGCAUGAUUCCUAUGUGCCUAAAUUCGAGGCUGAGCUUGCACAGUUUUGUGAGAAGUUGGUGAAUGAUCUUGAUAGGAAGGUCAGGCGUGGACGUGAACGCCUUGCACAAGAGGUUGAGCCGCCUCCACCACCUUCUCUAUCUGCAGAAAAAGCUGAACAAUUGUCUGUUUUGGAGGAAAAAGUUAAGAACCUUUUGGAACAAGUGGAAGCACUUGGUGAAGAGGGCAAAGUGGAUGAAGCUGAAGCGCUAAUGAGAAAGGUGGAAGCGCUUAAUGCUGAGAAGACAGUCUUGUUACAACGACCAACUGAUAAGGUACUUGCUAUGGCACAAGAGAAGAAGAUGGCACUGUGUGAGGUUUGUGGAUCAUUCCUUGUGGCUAAUGAUGCUGUAGAAAGGACGCAGUCUCAUGUCACUGGAAAACAACAUGUUGGCUAUGGCUUGGUCCGGGAGUUUCUUGCUGAACAAAAAGCUGCUAAAGAUAAAGGAAAGGAAGAAGAAAAGCUAGUCAGAGGAAAAGAAACAGAUGAUAAGAGGAAACCAAGGGAAAAGGAAAGCGAGGGUAAGAGGAGUGGGUCUAGUGAUAGAGAUAGAUACCGUGAUCGGGAUCGGGACAGAGAUGGUGAUAGACACAGGGACCGUGGUAGGGAUCAUAGAAAGCCUUAUGACAGGAGAUCGAGAAGUGGGAGAGAGGGUCGUGAUCGAAGCAGGUCACGAUCUCCUCAUGGAAGGUCUGGUCACAGAAGAGUGUCAAGAAGCCCCAUUCGCCAGUACUAGUUGGAGACCCUCAUGGAAGGUCUAGCCACAGAAGGGUGUAGAAAAUCCCAUUUGCCACCACUAGUUUGUGAUAAUGUGUUGUCGCUGUGUCUUGGGGCCAAGGAACUUUGCAAAUUAAUGAGCUAUUCUAAGAGUUUGAGACCUUACCCCUUCAUCGGUUAUUUGUUAAGAGGUCAAAAGCGUUGAGGUAGGUAUAACCAUAUAACCUUUACAUUUUCAUUGUAUUUCACAACGUUUGGGAUGCUAUAGCCUCUUUGAUUUCGUCGGUUGGUACCUAUUUCUAGUUUGAUAUACUUUUCUGAUUGAAAAGACUACAGAAUCGGGAAUAUUGGGCUUGAAUGACACAGAUACAAUUUGAGGUAUAAUUGUUACAUUUCUUGGAACAUUUGGUUGCAAAAAAAGCUUUCAAUAAAGGAAUCUCUGCGAACCCAGGAAACACAUUGGAUGGGUCGGCUUGAUAUUUUGAUUUGUAUCGGUUAUCGGGUAAACUCCCACAGCUGUUUAUGAACUUCUGAUAAAUCUUUUCCAAAUUCAAGUGGUGGAUGAUUAUAAUAAAAACAGUAGGUAAGGAAUUCUCUGGUGGGAGCAAGAACAGUUUCGAUGGUUUGUGUUGAGGUCCCAAGAACAAGGUCUGUGUUGAUGGUUUUGGCCUAUCUCAAAGCUAGUUGGCCUUUGUGUAAAACCUGGAUAAACCUUUCAUAUAAACAUUACAAAUGUCUUUUUCCUUUUCUGAUUUCUGUCUUUGAUUCAAAUGAAAACCUCAGCUUGUUUGUGAAUGAAUACCUUGUUUUGGGGCUU